rnacentral:rRNA from 1 species
AACAGGCUUAGAUACCCUGGUAGUCCACGCUGUAAACGGUGGGUACUAGGUGUGGGGUCCAUUCCACGGGUUCCGUGCCGUAGCUAACGCUUUAAGUACCCCGCCUGGGGAGUACGGCCGCAAGGCUAAAACUCAAAGGAAUUGACGGGGCCCCGCACAAGCGGCGGAGCAUGCGGAUUAAUUCGAUGCAACGCGUAGAACCUUACCUGGGUUUGACAUGGAUCGGGAGCGCUCAGAGAUGGGUGUGCCUCUUUUGGGGUCGGUUCACAGGUGGUGCAUGGCUGUCGUCAGCUCGUGUCGUGAGAUGUUGGGUUAAGUCCCGCAACGAGCGCAACCCUUGUUCACUGUUGCCAGCACGUUAUGGUGGGGACUCAGUGGAGACCGCCGGGGUCAACUCGGAGGAAGGUGGGGAUGACGUCAAGUCAUCAUGCCCCUUAUGUCCAGGGCUUCGCGCAUGCUACAAUGGCUGGUACAGAGAGUGGCGAGCCUGUGAGGGUGAGCGAAUCUCGGAAAGCCGGUCUCAGUUCGGAUUGGGGUCUGCAACUCGACCUCAUGAAGUCGGAGUCGCUAGUAAUCGCAGAUCAGCAACGCUGCGGUGAAUACGUUCCCGGGCCUUGUACACACCGCC